rnacentral:tRNA from 1 species
CCGUUGUAUUCAACUACAGAAAC